ACUCUUUCUUUUACUCAUUCUCAUUUUUGGAGGUUGGAAAAAAGUUAACGCGCAAUUUCAUAUGUCCUCUUUGGUGCCGUUCUGUGAGUGAAACGGCGAGAUGUGUGGAGGAAAAAGAAGAAAUAGAUGGGUACAGGCUGACCGGUUGAGACCAUUUCUGAUGUGUGUGCUAAGGAGGUGGCUUUUGUAUGUGCAUACAUACAUACAUACAUGCACAUGUGUGUAUGUUUAGGGUAAUUUGAAUAGCCUAUUAUUGACAAUUGCAAAUGGAAAAAGCAAGUGCAAGUGCAAGUGCGCGAAAAGACGAAUCGGGCCAAGACAAGGCUAGCGACCAGCUGGCCGCAAAGUUGUCUUUUGGCUUUAAAUCAAAAAACAAGUGCAGUAAAAAGUGGCAACAGCAACAGCAACAGCAACAAAAGCAGCGCCAUUUAACGGCUGUCAUUGUUGAUGGUGCAGUGGUUUUCAGCUGCGACGUUCGUGUUUGAUCAAGAUCAAGGCUGCAGUGUGUCGUGUGUGUGUCUGUGUGUGGGUGAGCUGGUUGCUGCCGGACAGCCCUUCAUAUUAGUUAAUGCUCAUAUUUAGCCAAGUACCAGUUUAUAACCAUUUGUGUGAGUGUGUGUGCAUAUGUGUGCUAUUACAAAUGCCAAGCACGCACAACCCUGUUGCUGCCAUUUACGGGACGGGGCGGAGCGGGGGCUGCUGGCUCUGUUGGCUCUGUUGGUCAUGGCCAGGCCUGCAGCGCAGUUGCAGCGCUGUCGCAUAAAUUCUAACUGUCGUCACACACUUACACACACGCGCGCACAUGUGAUCUAUCGCAUGCAUACAGUGGCGGACAAAAGUCAAGCCCCGCGCCAAAGGCAAAGCCCGUCGAAGUUGUCGUCUAGAAUUCGUAAUACAUUCUUUGCACCCUCUCCCUGCGAAUGGGGGAUGGAUCUUUGAUGCUACGACUGGCAAAUCGGGUAGAUGAACUCGCCUGAAAAGGGAUUCAAAGUACACACAUAGUGCAACGUAUCACCUGAUCUGCCAUAUAACAUUUGCUCUGAUCUUAGGAUCGGUGUAUAUGUAUCUACUAUACCUUACUACCAUAUAUAUUUUCGUAUAGUAUGUAUGGAUGUGUGUAUGCGGGUGGCACCUGAGCGAGAAGUACGCCCACCCAACAGCUGUCGUUGCUAUCGGCCAUGGGCGUUCAACUUGUUGUUUAUGGAAAACUACUUAAAAAACAACAGAAAGAGCAACAGAGGCAACAGAAAAGCGAAGCACAACCAAAACAAAACAAAAAGAUGCAGGCAUCCACG
rnacentral:sRNA from 1 species